AGCCGCGUCCGUAUGAGACGAAUCCGGUGAGUGGCACCAUCACUGUGGACUUUGUGUUCAUUGAAGGUGCCGAAAUACCCGCUGGACCCAAACCGUACAAACUGAAAGAGGCCUUGAAGAUCAGCACUCCAGUCAUUAACGAGCACAUGAAGAGCGGCGCCGGUUUAGCUGAUGCGGCUGUGCGCGCCUUACAGGAUGGCGCACUGUCAACAACCGGACAACCCAGCAAGAGCACAUUAAUUAUACAUAGCGUCCAAAGGAACCAAAACAAUUCAAAUGCAUUUAAGGUUGAAGUGAAUAAGGACGGCAGAAUCGAAGUUAAAGAGUCACCACAAGAAGAAGUCGACGGUGCGGUGACACAAAUUUUAGAAUCCCCAUUAAACGACAAUACGAGCGAAUCGUUGCCCACCGCCAAUACGACAGCGGAUAUCGAGCAAAUACAACAGGAAAUUUCGGUGGCGACGGACAUAACCGCUAGCCCCACAGACUCAUGUCCACCAAACGAUGUGUCCCUAGAUGAAUCGGGUGUGGCAUCAGGUAACAGCAGCGCUUUGGUUGCGUCCAGCGCCGAGUUUGGUCAACCGAAUGCCGCUUCCUCACCACAGGCCCACAAUGGCUACUCACCAUACAAUGGCAACUCGGCUACAAACAGUUCACAGAAUUAUGGCUACCAAAGCAAUAGUUUGCCCCGCAACGGUGCUGCGACUAGCACACCAUUAAGCAGCGCUGAGCUGGACGAGAGAGGACGGAGUAAGAAACGAAAUUUCUUUGGAACAUUAAAAAAACGUUUAAGUCGAUCCAAAACACGCACCCAUUCGGCUGAUCGUGGCGCUUUGACGCCGUCCCACAAUAAUAACGGUACCACCCCAACAGGAACACUUAACGGUGAUUCACGUUCAUUAUCUGUCGAUCGUGCUGUAUUGUCUAAAAGCAAUUCACUUGGCUUACGCGCUGGUUCGUCACGACUUGAUCACUCAAGGCAAUCUUCAAUUUCAGAAUCGUCCGCAAUCUCAGGUUUCUCGUCAGCCAGCAACAAAACGUACGUGCAUGAAGCAUCCACGCUGGUGCUGGAGACGAUCGAAAAUGGCGUGAAGCGGCAUUUCAUUGUGCCGCUGGCAAUCGCACAACGGCCCAGGUGGCGUCGCAAAGGCACAAAACUGCACAUUUACAAUGACCACACCUUUAUCGCCAAACAUUUGAGCGGUGGCGGCUUGCAAUGCCAAGUCUGCAUGAAGUCCAUCCCGCGACGACCGGGCAAGCAGGGUUACGAAUGUCGCGACUGCAAUUUGAUCUGCCACAAACAAUGCCACAUACGCGCACCACAGGCGUGUCCGAAUCCUACAGUGCUUUCAAUGGAAUUGACCUCAUUUCCGGUACUCACAGAACAAGAUAUACUCUAGUCAACUUUAUAUUUGAAUUUCUAGCGCUCAUAAGUUUUAUUGUCAUAAAAACUUUGAAUUUUUCAUUAAAAUAUACAUCGAUUGAAAUGUUUUUAAUUUAUGCGAAAUAUGUACUUCAGAAAACUUUUCUUUCAAAAUUCAUAAUAUAUAAAAAAUAUCAUAUUUCUUCAAUUAUGUGCAUAAACAACAAAGACAAAUAUUAAAGCUAGAGAAGUUGAAUAUUAUGCUUUUUACGGCUUUUACGAAAUUGUUUCUAAACUCUCAACUCGCAACGCUUUCGCAUUGAAACCCAAAACUGUACGCUAAAAUUAACUUUUACCCUUCAAACGCUUUUAUAAAUAAUAUUAUUUUGAAAAUGUUCAUAGGAAGUCAUUAUUCACUUCACUUAAACCAAAAAUGGAUUUUUUUGUAUCAAUACAUUCUGAAGCUUUGAAAUCAAAAUUAGUUAUGUAACUUAUAAUUUUUCCUUUAACCGAAAAUAUUUUGCCACAUAUUUAUUGUCACACUGAUUCUACUUUGUAAAUUGUAUCACUCACAAAAGGUCAACAAAGGCAUACUCAUAUAAAACUUGCUUUCAAAAUCUCAAGUUGUAAAUGGUUUCCAUAUACAUAUUUAUUAUAUUUAUGGUAUAUAACAUCUGCUAUACAUACGCUUGUCAUCUAACUGUUUAUAACGCAAAAUAAUGCCAAACCGCACUUAACCCAUGCACAGGACGAUGACUUCUAAUGAAAUAGAGCUAAAAACGCCAGCAAUUCCACGCUUAACUAACCAUUCUAUAAACAGUAACAAGUUUGAAAACAAUUUUGUAAUCAUUCACUGUCGGCUAUAUACACGAGCUUUUCGUGCAAGCUUAAGUUGCCAUAUACUAUACAUACAUACAUAUUUUCAUGAGUUUUGAACUCAAAAACCGUAAAUAUUUUCCGCCGAAGCCAUAAUAUUUAAAAAUCAAGCUGUACUCAAUGCUCAGAAGUUUAUAAAAGUCAAUAAGGUACUGCAUAAUUCGGCACCUUGUUUCAUAGAUCGAAACUUAAUUCUGCCGCUGCGGAUCGCAGUAUAAGGAAAUUAUGAAAGCGAACAUAAUGCACAAACAUCCGCAAGCAUCUAUGAUCCGUCACAAUAGCCUCGACGCAGCACAACGUAACAGCUUCGCAGAAAGAAAGGAAAACACUCGAAGUUAUCCACAAAGCUUCUGAGGGACAGGUCGAGCGGUUACCAACACUUAACCUUUUAUUUUGCUGUUAUUUCAUGUAAUACUUCUAGCUUUUUUAGAAAUUUUCGAAUACUCGCACACGACAAACUACAUAAUUGAUCAUUGCAAAGAGUUUAGGUACAAAAAUCUUAAUUACGUCGAAAAUUAAAUGCUAACUAUUUUUUGUUAUAUUUUUUACUUCUCUGUGAAUCUAUUCUCACUUACUUUGUUGUAAAGAAAAUUUUCACUUAUUUGUAUAUUUUUUCAUGGUAAGAUUUUUUUUAAGUUAUAGUCAUUUUGUUGUUGCAAUAUAUUAACUAGGUCUCUAUCAAAAGUUACAGUUUUAACAAAUAAUAAAAAUUCCAACCAUAUUUUUUAAAUUUUGUAAACCAUAAAAAUGGGAAAUUUGUAAAGUUUAUAAUUUUAAUUCUUGUUUAUUUUAAACGUGCAAUAUUCACUAUCUAGCUUAAGUAAAUAAUUUUUUAAGAACUUCUUUUGUAAUAAGUUUUUAAUUCUGUAAUUAAAACACCUUAAAUCACGAAAACUGUACACAUUACAAAUCAAACGAUCACAGUACGAAAACACAAAUAAAUGUUCAAAUAACGUAAUUAUUAAAGCGAAUAUGUAUCAGGAAAAAAUAAAAACUGGUGGAUUUUUAAGCGAAACUACAAAACAA